UGCUACAGGCUUAACACAUGCAAGUCGAGGGGCAUCAGGAAGAAAGCUUGCUUUCUUUGCUGGCGACCGGCGCACGGGUGAGUAACACGUAUCCAACCUGCCCUUUACUCGGGGAUAGCCUUUCGAAAGAAAGAUUAAUACCCGAUGGCAUAAUGAUUCCGCAUGGUUUCAUUAUUAAAGGAUUCCGGUAAAGGAUGGGGAUGCGUUCCAUUAGGUUGUUGGUGAGGUAACGGCUCACCAAGCCUUCGAUGGAUAGGGGUUCUGAGAGGAGGGUCCCCCACAUUGGAACUGAGACACGGUCCAAACUCCUACGGGAGGCAGCAGUGAGGAAUAUUGGUCAAUGGGCGCUAGCCUGAACCAGCCAAGUAGCGUGAAGGAUGAAGGCUCUAUGGGUCGUAAACUUCUUUUAUAUAAGAAUAAAGUGCAGUAUGUAUACUGUUUUGUAUGUAUUAUAUGAAUAAGGAUCGGCUAACUCCGUGCCAGCAGCCGCGGUAAUACGGAGGAUCCGAGCGUUAUCCGGAUUUAUUGGGUUUAAAGGGAGCGUAGGUGGACUGGUAAGUCAGUUGUGAAAGUUUGCGGCUCAACCGUAAAAUUGCAGUUGAUACUGUCAGUCUUGAGUACAGUAGAGGUGGGCGGAAUUCGUGGUGUAGCGGUGAAAUGCUUAGAUAUCACGAAGAACUCCGAUUGCGAAGGCAGCUCACUGGACUGCAACUGACACUGAUGCUCGAAAGUGUGGGUAUCAAACAGGAUUAGAUACCCUGGUAGUCCACACAGUAAACGAUGAAUACUCGCUGUUUGCGAUAUACAGUAAGCGGCCAAGCGAAAGCAUUAAGUAUUCCACCUGGGGAGUACGCCGGCAACGGUGAAACUCAAAGGAAUUGACGGGGGCCCGCACAAGCGGAGGAACAUGUGGUUUAAUUCGAUGAUACGCGAGGAACCUUACCCGGGCUUAAAUUGCAGUGGAAUGAUGUGGAAACAUGUCAGUGAGCAAUCACCGCUGUGAAGGUGCUGCAUGGUUGUCGUCAGCUCGUGCCGUGAGGUGUCGGCUUAAGUGCCAUAACGAGCGCAACCCUUAUCUUUAGUUACUAACAGGUUAUGCUGAGGACUCUAGAGAGACUGCCGUCGUAAGAUGUGAGGAAGGUGGGGAUGACGUCAAAUCAGCACGGCCCUUACGUCCGGGGCUACACACGUGUUACAAUGGGGGGUACAGAAGGCAGCUAGCGGGUGACCGUAUGCUAAUCCCAAAAUCCUCUCUCAGUUCGGAUCGAAGUCUGCAACCCGACUUCGUGAAGCUGGAUUCGCUAGUAAUCGCGCAUCAGCCACGGCGCGGUGAAUACGUUCCCGGGCCUUGUACACACCGCCCGUCAAGCCAUGGGAGCCGGGGGUACCUGAAGUACGUAACCGCAAGGAUCGUCCUAGGGUAAAACUGGUGACUGG
rnacentral:rRNA from 1 species